rnacentral:rRNA from 1 species
UACGAGAGGCCCAAACGUUAUUCGGAUUUACUGGGCUUAAAGAGUUCGUAGGCGGUGCAGAUAGUGGGGUGUGAAAGCCCUCGGCUCAACCGAGGAAUUGCGCUCCAAACUCCUGUACUCGAGGAAGCUAGAGGUGAGCAGAACAGAUGGUGGAGCGGUGAAAUGCGUUGAUAUCAUCUGGAAUACCGGAGGCGAAGGCGGCUCACUGGGGCUUUUCUGACGCUGAGGAACGAAAGCCAGGGUAGCGAACGGG